rnacentral:lncRNA from 13 species
CUGAGGGCUGAGCUGCAGCGUCUCCGCACCACGGCCCAAGAGUACGAGCUGGAGAUCACCACCCUGCGUGCUGAAAUCAGUAUGAAGAGCAUGAGGAGGGAGGGAGAGACUGACGGUGAGUUAAGCCAGCUGACGGCGGAGUGUCAUACGAUUUCAGACGAGUGUCAGACCCUGAAGGACGAAAACAAACAGCUGAGCCUCAAACUGCAGCAGCUACAGCGAGCCGGCUCCAAUGAUGUCUACCUGGCCUUGAGAGGGGAGGGGGAUGAGGACCAGAAGGAUGAGGGUGUUGGGCAGGAUGAGGAAUCAGUGAAGGCUGGAGGCUACAUGACCCUGUCUCAGACCCAGGGUGGGCAGACCCAGACUGGGCAAGGUGGGCGCUUGGUGGAUGCCUCCAUCCAGAAGAACAUCUCGUUCGAUGGCAAGCCUAUCACCAACUGGAACGGGGGACCCUCUGAAGCCUUCUCCCUACGAGACCAGCUCAAACUGGCUGAAGAGAGGGCCUCGCAAGUACAGAGACAAUGUGAGGGGUUGAAGGGGGAGCUUGCGAACCUGCAGGGGCUGUUUGACUGCAGCCAGAAGGAGAGGAUUGAGCUGGAGCAGGAACUGCAUCACUAUAGGGCGGAGCUAGAGAGGCUUGGCGGCAAGAAGUCACAGAACUGCACUCCUCCGUCUGAGCCCCCUGUUCUCUCCAUCCCCUUCAUAGGAAUGAUUGUAAUAAUGGCCCUGAUAUGGUGCUGGUGGGAGGAGCUGGCAUCCUAGAGGGGACCAGGAGAGCGAGGGAGGCUGGAACCUGGUGGCGGUGGUUGCCGUGGCAGCGCUUGUAGUCCUGAUAGUCCCCAGCCUUUCUAGAGCAUUUACCUGAGGACUACACAGAAAGGAAGUCACUGUACAGGAAAUGACUGUGCCGGUUGCCCAUGGCAACACUGGCAAUGCCAUGCCCCUAUCUCAUGAUGCCCCUGUCAAAUCUCCUCCUCGCUUCAUCUUCCAAGGAGGACUACAUCGAAAACAUUUUCACCAGGAAAUACAACACAAGAAGGAAGUAGUCCCAUACAUUACUCAAGGAGAAAUACAUAUACCUGUUUAAGCCACUCUAAUGAUAAGGACUGCAAUAUCUUAUUUCUCUCUUUAAAGUCCUUCAGUUUGACUCAAUCGGUUUCCCUCUCUACUACUCUUCUCUCUGCACUUCUUUAGAUAAACUUACGAGUUUAGGGGAACAGCAUUAUAUAACAGUGAUUGCCUCGGAGUUUGUGGCAGUACUGUGUCUGCAUGGGCGUCAAUGGAAAGACACAAUUUAGCACAGAACAUGUCUGAGCAUUUAUUGAUUGAUUGGUUGAUGGUUUAUUGUUUGAUUGGUUGAUGGUUGAUUGGUUUAUUGUUUGAUUGGUUGAUGCUUGAUUGGUUUAUUGUUUGAUUGGUUGAUGCUUGAUUGGUUUAUUUACAACCUGUAAAGGUUGAAUUGUGAAAAGCUCAUGCCUUAUUGUUUCCUUUGCACAUAUUGAGUCACUGAUAAGAUGUUUCUCUUUCUAAUGGGCAUGUGGUCUUUUCCCAGAUCCUACCCCUCCUUUUGAAUCACUUUCAACAUUGCCAAUGCGAAUGUCUCUGCUACACUUUGCGUGUCUUUACGGCUCACAAUUGACUAUCUUAACACUUUUCCUUCUGUUUCUGUUGUGGCAUGCUCUUUUUACGUUUAAAUGAAGUUGUGUGGAGGAGGGUUUGAUUAUGUGAGUUUGAUGUAUUGGAUGUUUGUCUCCUUUGUAAAUGUUUUUUUCUCUCUCUCGUCUGCGUCUGUCACUCUCUGCACUUUCUCCUUAUUGGUUAUUGGUUAUAUCUGCAUGUGUAUGGAACCACAACCACUAUACACAUCUAUACAGAUGAACAAUACAAUCAUAAAUGCAACUUGGGGUAUUCAAUUUGACAGUCCAAAUGAUUUCCAGCUAGAUAUCUAUUUUUGUAGCCGUAGGAACAAAUUGUCCCCAAGACUGAGGAGUUAUUUAAUGACUGAUUCCACUGUGUUUGGUUCUGCUUAGAAACAGAACUUAACAAGGCUCGUUAUUUGAAACAGAGAGUUAUUUUUGCAAAUAGACAUUUGUGUUUAAAUGUUUUGCGUUCUUUUUUUAAUAUUAAUCGUCACACGCAUUCUGAAAAAUGACAAACAAUCACUAUAGGCCACCAAAAUGAAAAGUGGAGCCAGUGAGGAAAUGUGGACCAUUGUUUUCCAAG